rnacentral:rRNA from 1 species
AGAGUUUGAUCCUGGCUCAGGAUGAACGCUAGCUACAGGCUUAACACAUGCAAGUCGAGGGGCAGCAUGGUCUUAGCUUGCUAAGGCCGAUGGCGACCGGCGCACGGGUGAGUAACACGUAUCCAACCUGCCGUCUACUCUUGGACAGCCUUCUGAAAGGAAGAUUAAUACAAGAUGGCAUCAUGAGUCCGCAUGUUCACAUGAUUAAAGGUAUUCCGGUAGACGAUGGGGAUGCGUUCCAUUAGAUAGUAGGCGGGGUAACGGCCCACCUAGUCUUCGAUGGAUAGGGGUUCUGAGAGGAAGGUCCCCCACAUUGGAACUGAGACACGGUCCAAACUCCUACGGGAGGCAGCAGUGAGGAAUAUUGGUCAAUGGGCGAGAGCCUGAACCAGCCAAGUAGCGUGAAGGAUGACUGCCCUAUGGGUUGUAAACUUCUUUUAUAAAGGAAUAAAGUCGGGUAUGGAUACCCGUUUGCAUGUACUUUAUGAAUAAGGAUCGGCUAACUCCGUGCCAGCAGCCGCGGUAAUACGGAGGAUCCGAGCGUUAUCCGGAUUUAUUGGGUUUAAAGGGAGCGUAGAUGGAUGUUUAAGUCAGUUGUGAAAGUUUGCGGCUCAACCGUAAAAUUGCAGUUGAUACUGGAUAUCUUGAGUGCAGUUGAGGCAGGCGGAAUUCGUGGUGUAGCGGUGAAAUGCUUAGAUAUCACGAAGAACUCCGAUUGCGAAGGCAGCCUGCUAAGCUGCAACUGACAUUGAGGCUCGAAAGUGUGGGUAUCAAACAGGAUUAGAUACCCUGGUAGUCCACACGGUAAACGAUGAAUACUCGCUGUUUGCGAUAUACGGCAAGCGGCCAAGCGAAAGCGUUAAGUAUUCCACCUGGGGAGUACGCCGGCAACGGUGAAACUCAAAGGAAUUGACGGGGGCCCGCACAAGCGGAGGAACAUGUGGUUUAAUUCGAUGAUACGCGAGGAACCUUACCCGGGCUUAAAUUGCAGAUGAAUUACGGUGAAAGCCGUAAGCCGCAAGGCAUCUGUGAAGGUGCUGCAUGGUUGUCGUCAGCUCGUGCCGUGAGGUGUCGGCUUAAGUGCCAUAACGAGCGCAACCCUUGUUGUCAGUUACUAACAGGUCAUGCUGAGGACUCUGACAAGACUGCCAUCGUAAGAUGUGAGGAAGGUGGGGAUGACGUCAAAUCAGCACGGCCCUUACGUCCGGGGCUACACACGUGUUACAAUGGGGGGUACAGAGGGCCGCUACCACGCGAGUGGAUGCCAAUCCCAAAAACCUCUCUCAGUUCGGACUGGAGUCUGCAACCCGACUCCACGAAGCUGGAUUCGCUAGUAAUCGCGCAUCAGCCACGGCGCGGUGAAUACGUUCCCGGGCCUUGUACACACCGCCCGUCAAGCCAUGGGAGCCGGGGGUACCUGAAGUGCGUAACCGCGAGGAGCGCCCUAGGGUAAAACUGGUGACUGGGGCUAAGUCGUAACAAGGUAGCCG